AGAACCCUCCCAAGCUGGCUACUCCUCUAUUUGAUACUAAAAUGGAAGAGGACCCUAAGAUGGCAUACACAGACCUAGAUAAUCUUCAAAUGGUGUUUUGAACGAAGAGUGUUUGGUCUUGCAUUGUGAUGGCAUUUGAGUGUUGGCUUGGUCUCUGUUGGCUUGCUACAUAUCUAGAAAGCUCCAUGAUUUGUGCUAAGCUCAAAAUAUUAGUAGAUUUGUUGUGGUAGUGCCUUAACAGGAUUUGAGGCUUCUCCAUUCAGGAAAAGACAAGUCCGGUAGAUACAAAAAUUACAAGAUCGCAAGUUUGGAUUGAAGGUCACAAGAAAAAAAAUGGGGAGCCUAGUACUCAAGCUGUUGGAGAGAAAAUAGUAAGCAUGCCCACUCAUUUUAGAUUUCUUUAGUAUUU